GGUAAAAUACGGUAGUGAUAAAAAUAAACCCAGUAAAUAUUAGGAUCUAAAUAAGUAAGCCUAAUAUUAACUAAAAAGUGAAUCAAAGCUUUGGAGGAAAUAAAGCUUAUAAAAGACCCGAGGUAACGGGGUGUAUGUAACACCCUAAAACAUAAAUCCUUUUAUUAUAAAUCCGACGUUGAUAUUAACGAGAUAAACUAACUAGUGAUAAAACUAACCUAGUUAGAUAAGAGUUUAGUGAUAAUAAAUUAGAGUGUUAGAAACACCCAAAUAAAAACCUCAUGAAAGUAGGAGGGUUAAAAGUGCCAAGUAUGAAACAAGUUUUAUUAAACACAAAUAAAAUAAAAAUCCAACACACACACUGGUGUGUGGAUCGACCAGAACGCAGAAGGGGGUUUUCCAAAACCCUAACUCACCCAAAAAUUCACAAAUUGAAGGUCAAGAUCAAUUCCAAAACGAAAUCCGAGCCUAGAUUGGUGAUCUCCAUUACAAGGGGGUCAUAAGCGUAGGAGCCAUGUCAAUAUGGACACGAGCAUGGAAGGGCAAUGGGUCAAAGCUAAAAACGGAAGCUAUGCAUGAACUCGGACGCACGAGGAAUGAGAACGUCAGACUCUUGUAGAAUUGAAGCCGAACCUGGAAGCCGAACUCGAAACAAAGGAAUCCGAGAGGAUAGUCGAAUGAAUCAAAGUUUAUGUUGUUGAAUGUUAUAUGAUUUUUAAUUGUACCAGAUUAUUGUUGUAUGAUGUUGUCAAUGACUAAUGGUUAAGUUGUAUGUGAUGUCCACAGGUACUACACGGAUUUCUUCUACCACUAUCGAAGAUAAGCGGGCAUAGAUCGAGUCGAAUAACAAGGAUUGUACGGAAAGAACGAUUACGUAGUCUUAAUUUUGUAACGCAUUAAUUUGUAAAAAGGGAAGUGAAUUUUGUAAGCUUCUUCUUGAAUGUGUGUAUUGUUUUAAGAUCGUAAAGAAAUUUUU